rnacentral:rRNA from 1 species
GAUCAUGGCUCAGGACGAACGCUGGCGGCGUGCCUAAUACAUGCAAGUAGAACGCUAAAGGAGGAGCUUGCUUCUCUGGAUGAGUUGCGAACGGGUGAGUAACGCGUAGGUAACCUGCCUGGUAGCGGGGGAUAACUAUUGGAAACGAUAGCUAAUACCGCAUAAUAGUAGUUGUUUGUCAUGACAACUAGUUUGUAAAGGUAGGCAAUUAGUCAUCACUACCACGAUGGACCGUCGCGUUG